UUGGCAGAAUCAGCGGGGAA
rnacentral:ncRNA from 2 species